rnacentral:lncRNA from 1 species
UUUAGGUUUUUGUGUUUGUGUUGGAAUUGGACUUCACAGCUGAUUUCCUGGACGUUCUGAGGAAAAGAGAUGAAGUAUUGUGAAAUCAUGGGUUUUCUGGUCAUAGUGGGUCUUGUCAUCAUGUUGGUGGAACAAACAAAUGGACACUUCACGUUUUUCAGUCCCAAAGAAAUGAGGGAAAUGAUGGAGAAAGGGAAGACUGAGAAGUCUGUGGACGAACAAUCGGAUUCCAGUGAAAAGCAGUUUCAGGAUAUGACAAACCUGGUGCACACUGAUGAACAGAAAAAAGUUCAGGGAACGCAAGUGAAAACUGGGGAUCAGCUGACAUCCAAACAGUUGGACCAUGGGGAUCAAGUUGAAAAAAUCCUUCAGGAAAUGCUAACAGAUGCUGAAAAAGUGUUCUCUGAAAGGCCCUGACCAGACCAGAUGUGAGACAGGCCAAGUCUUUUCUGCUAUUUAUUCGCUUCCUGUAGGAACCAGCAAACAGGGCUGCUUAUUUGGUGACCAACUAAAUAUGUGUAACAGACUGUGCUUACUCACUGUACCACAAAAUAUAUGAUCUAAUACUUUCAUUCUGUGUGAAUCCUACUAACUUGUUGGAAAACAAUUUACUGUUGUAUGAAUGUUACUUGCAAGUUCAGGGUGUACUCUUCUCAAACCUGAUUAAACUCUGCGAUCAGCAUCUGUGGUUUCCUUUAAUUCCUUUC